GGGUGUGAUCAUACCAGCGUUAAUGCACUGGAUCCCAUCAGAACUCUGCAGUUAAGCGCACUUGGGCUAGAGUAGUACUGGGAUGGGUGAUCUCCCGGGAAGUCCUAGUGUUGCACCCU
rnacentral:rRNA from 1 species